GGUGGUUCUCAGGUGAUGCACCCUGGAAUUGGGCUCCUUCUCUCUGAAUCUGGGUGCGUUACCCAAGAACCACA
rfam:Myotis lucifugus cont2.30252, whole genome shotgun sequence.